rnacentral:rRNA from 1 species
UGCGUAGGCAGCGAGCGUUGUUCGGAGUUACUGGGCGUAAAGCGUGCGUAGGCGGUGUCUUAAGUUUGUUGUGAAAUCUCCCGGCUUAACCGGGAGGGUGCGGCGAAUACUGAGAUGCUGGAGUGCCGGAGAGGUAAGCGGAAUUCCUGGUGUAGCGGUGAAAUGCGUAGAUAUCAGGAGGAACACCUGCGGUGUAGACGGCUUACUGGACGGUAACUGACGCUGAGGCACGAAAGCGUGGGUAGCAAACAGG